AGAGUUUGAUCAUGGCUCAGAUUGAACGCUGGCGGCAGGCCUAACACAUGCAAGUCGAACGGUAGCACAGGAGAGCUUGCUCUCUGGGUGACGAGUGGCGGACGGGUGAGUAAUGCAUGGGGAGCUGCCCAAUCGAGGGGAAUACCAGCUGGAAACGGCUGCUAAUACCGCAUACGCCCUGAGGGGGAAAGGUGGGGACCUUCGGGCCUACCGCGAUUGGAUGCACCCAUGUGGGAUUAGCUGGUUGGUGAGGUAACGGCUCACCAAGGCGACGAUCUCUAGCUGGUCUGAGAGGAUGACCAGCCACACUGGAACUGAGACACGGUCCAGACUCCUACGGGAGGCAGCAGUGGGGAAUAUUGCACAAUGGGAGAAACCCUGAUGCAGCCAUGCCGCGUGUGUGAAGAAGGCCUUCGGGUUGUAAAGCACUUUCAGUAGGGAGGAAGGGAUGAUGUUUAAUACGCAUCAUCAUUGACGUUACCUACAGAAGAACCACCGGCUAACUCCGUGCCAGCAGCCGCGGUAAUACGGAGGGUGCAAGCGUUAAUCGGAAUAACUGGGCGUAAAGCGCACGCAGGCGGUCAGAUAAGUCAGAUGUGAAAUCCCCGGGCUCAACCUGGGAACUGCAUUUGAAACUGUCAGACUAGAGUCUUGUAGAGGGGGGUAGAAUUCCAGGUGUAGCGGUGAAAUGCGUAGAGAUCUGGAGGAAUACCGGUGGCGAAGGCGGCCCCCUGGACAAAGACUGACGCUCAGGUGCGAAAGCGUGNGGAGCANACAGGAUUAGAUACCCUG
rnacentral:rRNA from 1 species